ACGGGUGAGUAAUACAUCGGAACGUGCCAUGUAGUGGGGGAUAACUAGUCGAAAGAUUAGCUAAUACCGCAUACGACCUGAGGGUGAAAGUGGGGGACCGCAAGGCCUCAUGCUAUAGGAGCGGCCGAUGUCUGAUUAGCUAGUUGGUGAGGUAAAGGCUCACCAAGGCGACGAUCAGUAGCUGGUCUGAGAGGACGAUCAGCCACACUGGGACUGAGACACGGCCCAGACUCCUACGGGAGGCAGCAGUGGGGAAUUUUGGACAAUGGGCGAAAGCCUGAUCCAGCAAUGCCGCGUGUGUGAAGAAGGCCUUCGGGUUGUAAAGCACUUUUGUCCGGAAAGAAAUGGCUCUGGUUAAUACCUGGGGUCGAUGACGGUACCGGAAGAAUAAGGACCGGCUAACUACGUGCCAGCAGCCGCGGUAAUACGUAGGGUCCAAGCGUUAAUCGGAAUUACUGGGCGUAAAGCGUGCGCAGGCGGUUGUGCAAGACCGAUGUGAAAUCCCCGAGCUUAACUUGGGAAUUGCAUUGGUGACUGCACGGCUAGAGUGUGUCAGAGGGGGGUAGAAUUCCACGU
rnacentral:rRNA from 1 species